rnacentral:rRNA from 1 species
CGCGGCCUAUCAGCUUGUUGGUGGGGUAACGGCCUACCAAGGCUUCGACGGGUAGCUGGUCUGAGAGGACGGCCAGCCACACUGGGACUGAGACACGGCCCAGACUCCUACGGGAGGCAGCAGUGGGGAAUAUUGCGCUAAUGCGCGAAAGCGUGACGCAGCGACGCCGCGUGGGGGAUGAAGGCCCUCGGGUCGUAAACCCCUUUCGCCAGGGACGAAGGGAAACUGACGGUACCUGGAGAAGAAGUCCCGGCUAACUACGUGCCAGCAGCCGCGGUAACACGUAGGGGACGAGCGUUGUCCGGAUUCAUUGGGCGUAAAGCGCGCGUAGGCGGCCCGGAAAGUCGGUUGUGAAAGCCCGGGGCUCAACCCCGGGACUGCAUCCGAUACUCCCGGGCUGGAGGUAGGUAGGGGAGAUCGGAAUUCCUGGUGUAGCGGUGAAAUGCGCAGAUAUCAGGAGGAACACCGGUGGCGAAGGCGGAUCUCUGGGCCUUACCUGACGCUGAGGCGCGAAAGCUAGGGGAGCGAACAGGAUUAGAUACCCUGGUAGUCCUAGCCGUAAACGUUGGGUGCUAGGUGUGGGCGGACAUCGACCCCGUCCGUGCCGAAGCUAACGCAUUAAGCACCCCGCCUGGGGAGUACGG